ACUAUUUGUUAAAAGGAAAAGCAUGUUUAUUUGGAUAAUAACAUAAAUUAAGAAACGUGUGGGAAGUCAGAUCUCCCAAACAGUAUAUUUGCUUGCUGUCCUUUGGUAACAGGGAGUCUCCAUUGGAAGGGUGUUUGCAGCUGAAUCUGCAGCUAGAUUGGGAAACUUCUUGAACAACUGUCCUAAUUAAAUUUUGCCUCUAUUUGCACCAAUCCAUCUAUGACUGAGUACAGAAGCAGUUUCUACUGACAAAUAAUCUUAUAUAUGUGCAUUUCUUCACAAAAAUUACCUGGAGGGAUAUUUGGGGUGCUCAACACAGGAUGUUAACCAACAUAUUUAAUCAUGUCAAUUAGACUAGACAUAAGAGGAGAUGCCUCGGGGGAAUUUGUAGGACUGUCUGAAGCUCUCACAUGAGGGGUCAGUCAAGCAGUGAUGGAGCUCAGGCAAUCCUCUACUUUCAAGCUGGUUUAUUGUCUCCAGCCAGCCCAUGUGCUCACUGGUGCAGGUGUCUGGCAGCUCCUGGAGCACACAGGGAGCUCAGUAGUGAAGAGCAGAGCAGCACAACCUCUACUCAGCUCCAGUGCAAUUAGACCUGAAGAACAAACUUGAUUUUCAUAUUGCACAAGAAAAUAAUUUGCUUGGUUUUUCUUGCCACAGGUGAGCAUCUCAUACUGCUAACGAUUUGAGCUGUGAUUAUUCAAAUUCCCAAUUCCCAGCGUGUGCUGCUCUAGGGUGGUACAAACAAGCCUCAGCAUCUUUCAUUAAAAUGAAAAGUAAUGUAUUUUCGUCUCACAAAAGAGCUGAGAUUAGUACAUGCAGGUGGUACAUCACAUUAGUACAUCACAACUUUUACCAUAGCUAAUGUGUGGUAAAUCACAGUGCAGCUAAGCUGGUGUGUGGUAAAUUACACUGUGGCUGAUGUGCAUCUGUGCCCUGGAAUUUAGAGCCUCCAGCAGGAUAAGAAAUUCUGUUCCAAUAAUUUGAGAGGCAACUGCAAGACCUUCACUGCUAGGCUGCUGAGAUGUAUUUAAAAGUUCAGUGACUUAAAAAAUCCUAGUUAAACUAAACAAAAAAUUGUUCUGUAAAGGUCAUGAGUUGUAUGGCUGUCCUCAAAGGGCCACAUCACUGCAGGCUGUUGUCUUAUGAUGUGAAAUUAGGACUCCUGAAAUUUAGUGUUGUGUUUCCAUCUGAGAAUUGGGCAGGGAAAGAUUGCAACAGUGGGAGGAAUUUGAAAGUGACAGAGAGCUGCAUUUCACAGAUUCUGAGCAGGUGAUUUGGGGUUUUUUUCUUGGUUACUUCCCAAAAUAACUCAGGCAAGGUGUUGUGACCUUCAGAAAGCAAAAGCCACUAACAGCAUAUUCUGCCUGAGCUCUGUCUCUGCCUGGGCAGUGGCUGUGCUUUUGUUGCUCCCAAAGAAAGAGUCCUGCUCCAGUAGCUGUGAGGAGACCUAAACCCCAGCUGAGAUACCUCAGAAUUGGGCACCCCCCACUUGGCAAUUCAGGCCCAUCCUUGGCAAGAAAUAAAGGAUGAGAGGUGGAAGAAAUCAGCAGGGCCCCUGAGGGGAAGGGGUAAGAGCAGCCCUGUUUGGACACCCAUGUUUUUCACUCAGCUGUUCCACAGAAACCAGCAGCCCAUCUCACCCAGUGCAGGGCAGAGGAUGUCUGACCCUGCCAAAGCUCAGCCACCUUGGCUCUGAUAUGCAGAUAUGGUUACCAAAGUACCAGGAAUGGCAGGACAUGGAAGCAGUUAGCACACCUGUUUUAUCUUCCUUGCACUGUAUCCAGCAGUACAAAACUAUUUGACUCCACAAAUAUGCAAUGGUGACUCUCUUAAGUAGCUGUUAUUUACACUGCAUGGUCAAAACCCAGUUUACAGCUAAAGAAAAAACUCCUGUUAGAUUUACCAGUUUGGGCUGGAGAGAAAAAAACAAGGGGUUUUGUUUGCCCAGUUUUGGAUACACAAAACCCCUUUUAGGUUUUUAGACAUAGAAUCGUUUCCCAAAUUUCAUUUGUUUUUCCAAAUGUAUUUGAUAGUCUAAUAAAACAGUGGUGGCCCCCUGCACCCAUGGGAACUGCUAGCUGGCCUUUAAGGGCAAUGCUGUGAGACUGCAGCCUCUGAGGCUGCCCUUCCCUUCCCUUGCGUCUUAGGAUGGAUUUGGUACCUUUUAGCUCCCUCUCCUGUCCAGCUGUAGAUACAUAUGUAGUGAACUUGUCUGAGGAGGCUUCUGGGUUGUUUCAAUUAAAGCAGUUGUUUAGAGCUCUCCCAAAUGAAGCACAAGUUCAUUAGAUAAUGGAAUACUCUUAACUUAUGAGCCUGGUGUAAGGUGGUCUUCAGUUUUAAUGAACAGACAGCAAUUUAAACAGCGUGGGCUGGGCACCGCAGGGCUACUGUCCCUGCUCUUACAUUUGGGGUUUUGAUUUCUUCCUCUCUGCCUUUUUAUCUGCUUUUUAUCUGCUUUAACACUGCAUGAGGAGUGCAGCAUUUCCUGGGAGGAGCCAGCCUGCUCGACUCUUCUCACUUAUCUAAGACAGACAAAGCAUGGCCUCGUGUUUUUCUGUGGCCUUUUCACAACUGCAUUAUUUCACUGAUGCAUUAUAAUUUUUGUUAUGCUUAUCCUCGUUCUUCAGGGCCAGGCUUUUGUAGCCUGGUUUGUCCAGAAAAGACAGAAAACAAUGUGCCUAUGGACUCAUAUGACUAUGAGCCCUCCAGGGAGAUUUGUGGAAGAGGUGGGAAUUAAGAUAAAUUAUUCAUUUAUAGUUUGAUAUAAACUCAGGUGUACUUCAGGGCUGGAGCACUCUUCCCUGGAGGCCAGCACUGCCCACCAAGGACCUCCUCUGUACAACUUGGAAACCCACUAAAACCUUACUCAUCAAAUUGUUUCCUUAAGAUGUUCCUAAAAUAUGAAAUAUAUAGCAAGCACAGGAUGAAGAUUAGGGAGGAGCUGCUUCCAGUGUUGCUACUUUCAACACAUUUAAAAAUUGGAUUUAUCUUGGGAAGCACUGCAGCCCCCUCGUUGGCACCUCAUAAGACACUUUUUGAUGACUGUUGUUGACUGGAAGACUCUUUGAUUCCAGUGAAUGAGCUGGUAUUCCAUUUCCAGCACAGACUGAACUAUGAAGCUCUGGGUUUCUUUGUAUCCCUGUAUUUACUAAAGAAAACUGAACCAUGACAACAACAAAGCCUGUGAAGUCAUUCUUCAUCUGCAAUAGGGGAACAAAGGGUGGAGGUUCUCUGCAGGCCACAUCAGAGCUGUGCUCCAGCACUGGGGCAUAGAGCCUCAACCUGUCCUGUGUGUGAGUGCUCCUCAGAGAUGAGCCUGUUGGACACGUGAGGAGCUCCUGGACACUGCAAGUUGAGCCAAUUGCUGGGCUCACAGAGCAUCCCAAACCACAUCUGUAGAAGGCUUGCAGUGUUUGGUCUAGGCUUCUGCUGCUUGCCAGCUGUGAAGGCCACUGGUGGACUUCCAGCCCAAGAGCUGCACUGCAGUUUGUGUCUUUCAUUUGGGCAGUGGUGUAGCAGGACUUCCCCUCUGCUGCAGAAGAGCUUAUCUCUUCCAUCAGCUGAUGCAACAGCUCAGGGCACCUUCCCCCCCUUGCAGGAAUCUGCCAAUUGGUGAGAUAACCCAAGAUAUCUGUCCUGUGGUGAGUUAUCUCUGGUACCAGGGAGGUGGAAUUCCCAGCUGGCCAUAAACAUCUUGCCUUGAGAGCAGAUUGAAGGGAGAUAAGCUUUGAAUUUCUGACUGACAGGCAUUUCACUUUACAAACGAUAAAAGCUACACAAAACCUUCACAAAGGAGAAGUCUUUUGCACAUUCCUUGGAAAUAUGUAGGGACCUCUCCUCAAGGUUUGGGAUGCUGGCCCUGAGUUGAACUUCUGAAAGCUGAGUUCCAUCUCAUGCAGCCCUUGGGGACCAUAUCCUUGUGCCAUCUCCCAGGCAGUGGGCAAGGCCAAAGCUGCUACCUGCAGCUAGGGGCUGUGCUUUCUGUGCUUCUCUCUCUGUGCCCUUGUCCAUAGGAGCUUCCCAAGGGGUUGCAGAGACCUACCACAAUGGCUGGAAGUACACAAGAUGGCAAGGGGACAGUGAUGUGGCUCUCAGCAUCUGUGCCCUGACAUGCCACAGUGCAUGGUGGUACAAGAACCACACCUGGCCAAGCUCAGUGGGAAGCACGGGGAGAGCAGUCACUGAGGGUGUGAACUGGGAGUCAUGGAAAGGAUAUGACUUCUCCAUCUCUUUUAUGGAGAUGAAGAUCUGUCCUCAGUCUUCCAGUAAUGAGCCAGUCCUGGGGAGGAAGAAGUCUUUAUCAGAGAAGACAAAAAAGAUCAGAACAAUACCCAAAGCCCAGAGAAAAUACGAAGGAGAUGUGCAGUAGAUUGAUGUUCACUCUCCAGGGUGAGGCCCAGAACAGGGUGAAUGUAAGGUCCAUUCUCCUUCAGGCUCUGCUCACCAUCCCAGACCUCUCUGUACUGCUUGCUUACAGACAAUUAACCAAAUUCCCUAUGUGACUGUUCCAUCUGCUGCCUUUUGCUUUUUCAUCAGCAGUGUGGCAGGUAGUGAUGCUGAAAUGAUAACACUUGUCAUCCACCUCUAAAACGAGCAUCCCAUGGAGUUAAACUAAUCCUGUGUGCCCCAGUACAUGGUUUCACAUUUGACUGGGUUUUUUUUUUUAAUGUUUUUGAGGCUUUUAUUUUUUUGUUUUGGUUUGGGUUUUUUCCCACUCACAGCCAUAAAGGUGAGGUUUAUUUUUAUUUUUCCCUGGUAAGACAUUAACAUUUUGGACAGCCAGCUCCAGCCAGGGAAGAAGUAUGAGCUAACCAAACGCUGCUUGUUCAAAAGCUUCCUUGUCUGAGCACACUGGGACAUGGUUGUCCCAUGUCUUAAUGGCCUUCUCUAUUGCAGUGCUAAGCUGAGUAAUACAUUUUAAAGAAUCCUUCCCAGACUUUGGAGAAAGUAAAAAAUUAACAAAUAAAGGGGGUCUUAAAUAUUUCUGUCUUCUUUGUUUUGGGUGGUAGAAUUGUUUUUCUUCCUAUUUAAGCAUUUUGCAUGAAAUGGAAGCAUUACCCAGGUCUGGAGUGGGACUGUGCAGAUUGGGUCUUUGGGGUCUGCUCCAAAACAGGGAUGGGGAUUGAGCUCUCUUUGUGACUUAACUCUGUGAAGUGCUUAACUGACCUGUGCUUGCUAGGACCUGGCUGAGGAGAGCCAGAGAGUUGUCUCUGGUGAGGUGAGGACUAAGUCCUUCAUCCUACAUUCAGGGCUGUGCCUCUCGGGUGGGCAGGUGAGCAGAGACUCAUCUGAGCUGUGUCAGGCUAUCCAAGCCCUGGCUUGGGGGAGGGAGGAGACUAAUGGUGAGAGGUGUAGAAAGGAAAAUUGUACUUGAAGUGUUUUGCAGGCUCUGUGCUAAGAGCAUGAGAGAAGGACACGGGGAAGCGAUGAGGGCUCUUUACUGUGAAGUGUUUUCUCCCUGUUGCCCACUUGUCUGUAGGCAAGGACAGAUUUCAGUUUGUUAUCCAGUUAAAGGGCUCAGUGAAGUCAUUGGGAAGGUGGCUGAGAUGGAGAGGGUGACCAGUCUCACAGACAGCCACUCUAAAAGUAAGUGUAUGCUCUAAAAAACAGCAGGCGUGAUUGUUACCUGUGACUUUUUCCUCUGCAGCAGCAAAACAUAAUCCCAUCCUAAAGCUGAAUCCCCCCGGAAGCAGGGAGUAUUCCCUUAGGUAGUAUAAGCUUUGUUUUUGUGCUAAGGGCAAAUGAGGCGCCUUAUUUGCAGCUUCUGAGGAGGGUCUGGCCUCCUAAUGCUCUUCUUACCAGGAAGGGCAAAGUGAGAGCUGCUGGAAAACCGCAGCAGAAAGUCAGUAUUCCCAACAGCCACAGGAUGGCAUUGUCCCUUCAGGCAGGAGAGACUCCCCGGUAUCCAGCUGGCCUCUGCGAAAGAACCUUUGUGGGGUUAACUAGAGCCUGUGCUACAGCCCGGGACUGCUCAGAUAGUGCAGUUUGUUUGCCUUGAGGGACUGGCUGUUCUGGUUUUGAGGCUCAGGAUGGUUGGGUAGUGCCAUAAAAAGGUCAUAUCCCUUUACUACCCUUGUUUUGCUGUAAUAUGUGGCCCUGUAACAGUGAUGUAGGAGUGCUAAUAAAUACAUUCUCAAAACCUCUGCCUUGCUCUGAGAUCACUUAAAAGUUUAUAUACUGAUUUGCAACACAUCUGGGGCAGAAUUUGAAUCCCAGAAGGCUUUGGCAUCACUGUGUUGAUCCUGUAGCUGGGUCCUACCAGCCAGGACCCACCUAUUGUGAUGUUUCUGGGACCCCAGAGAAAUGUUGCUGUAUUCACCCAGGAACAGGAGGAAGAGGAUGCCUCUUCCCAAAGAUACUGUGUUUCUGUGGUGUUGUAAUUUGGAGAGAAGCCUGAAGUGUCUUCCUGCACUGGACACUUGCUUGGAAAGCAGUAUAGUUACUUUUGGUCACUGCUCUAGGCUUUGUUGGCUGAAUAAAUAGUGGAAUGGUCAGUGAGGAUCCAAUUCUUCCACCAUAGAGGGAUUUAAUGGGCAUUUUUCCUUCCCUUCAACCUUUAGACUGCUCCAGGAGUCAUCUCAGCCACUGCAUAUAUCUAACCUAGGACCCUGGAACUAUCCUUUUCCCCUUGCAGCCCAGGCUACCCAAGAGCACCUUGCCCUAAA